rnacentral:rRNA from 1 species
CCUACGGGUGGCUGCAGUGAGGAAUAUUGGUCAAUGGGCGUAAGCCUGAACCAGCCAAGUCGCGUGAGGGAUGAAGGUUCUAUGGAUCGUAAACCUCUUUUAUAAGGGAAUAAAGUGCGGGACGUGUCCCGUUUGGUAUGUACCUUCUGAAUAAGAAUCGGCUAACUCCGUGCAAGCAGCCGCGGUAAUACGGAGGUGCCGAGCGUUAUCCGGAUUUAUUGGGUUGAAAGGGUGCGUAGGCGGCCUGUUAAGUCAGCGGUGAAAGUCUGUGGCCCAACCAUAGAAUUGCCGUUGAAACUGGGAGGCUUGAUUAUGUUUGAGGCAGGCGGAAUGCGGGGUGUAGCGGUGAAAUGCUUAGAUAUCACGCAGAACCCCGAUUGCGAAGGCAGCCUGCCAAGCCAUGACUGACGCUGAUGCACGAAAGCGUGGGGAUCAAACAGGAUUAGAUACCCUAGUAGUC